GGAGGAAUAAGAAGGGUUCGGUGAAUGCCCAUAUGAAACUGGGGGGUUCGGUACCUCAAAAAAGGUUAAGAACCACUGCUCUAAAGCUAACCGGU